CGUCAUGGCGGCUGUGCGUGUGGGCACCUUCGGGUGCGCCAGGACUCUCAUGCUCUCUGGUCUGUCAACCCGCGCACAGCUGCCACCCAC
rnacentral:antisense_RNA from 1 species